rnacentral:rRNA from 1 species
GGGGGAUAUUGCACAAUGGGGGAAGCCCUGAUGCAGCGACGCCGCGUGGAGGAAGAAGGUUUUCGGAUUGUAAACUCCUGUCGUUAGGGACGAUAAUGACGGUACCUAACAAGAAAGCACCGGCUAACUACGUGCCAGCAGCCGCGGUAAAACGUAGGGUGCAAGCGUUGUCCGGAAUUACUGGGUGUAAAGGGAGCGCAGGCGGGAAGACAAGUUGGAAGUGAAAACCAUGGGCUCAACCCAUGAAUUGCUUUCAAAACUGUUUUUCUUGAGUAGUGCAGAGGUAGAUGGAAUUCCCGGUGUAGCGGUGGAAUGCGUAGAUAUCGGGAGGAACACCAGUGGCGAAGGCGGUCUACUGGGCACCAACUGACGCUGAGGCUCGAAAGCAUGGGUAGCAAACAGGAUUAGAUACCCUGGUAGUCCAUGCCGUAAACGAUGAUUACUGGGUGUUGGGGGAUUGACCCCCUCAGUGCCGCAGUUAACACAAUAAGUAAUCCACCUGGGGAGUACGACCGCAAGGUUGAAACUCAAAGGAAUUGACGGGGGCCCGCACAAGCAGUGGAGUAUGUGGUUUAAUUCGAAGCAACGCGAAGAACCUUACCAGGUCUUGACAUCCGAUGCAUAGCACAGAGAUGUGUGAAAUCCUUCGGGACAUCGAGACAGGUGGUGCAUGGUUGUCGUCAGCUCGUGUCGUGAGAUGUUGGGUUAAGUCCCGCAACGAGCGCAACCCUUAUUGCCAGUUACUACGUUAAGAGGACUCUGGCGAGACUGCCGUUGACAAAACGGAGGAAGGUGGGGAUGACGUCAAAUCAUCAUGCCCUUUAUGACCUGGGCUACACACGUACUACAAUGGCGUUAAACAAAGAGAAGCAAGACCGCGAGGUGGAGCAAAACUCAAAAACAACGUCUCAGUUCAGAUUGCAGGCUGCAACUCGCCUGCAUGAAGUCGGAAUUGCUAGUAAUCGCGGAUCAGCAUGCCGCGGUGAAUACGUUCCCG